rnacentral:tRNA from 1 species
CGGAGAGUAGUACAAUGGUAGUACGCGCGAUUCGGGUUCGCGUGAUCCGGGUUCGACUCCCGGCUUUCCGA